UGGGGAAUAUUGGACAAUGGGCGAAAGCCUGAUCCAGCAAUGCCGCGUGUGUGAAGAAGGUCUUCGGAUUGUAAAGCACUUUCGACGGGGACGAUGAUGACGGUACCCGUAGAAGAAGCCCCGGCUAACUUCGUGCCAGCAGCCGCGGUAAUACGAAGGGGGCUAGCGUUGCUCGGAAUGACUGGGCGUAAAGGGCGCGUAGGCGGAUCAUACAGUCAGAUGUGAAAUUCCUGGGCUUAACCUGGGGGCUGCAUUUGAGACGUGUGGUCUAGAGUGUGAAAGAGGGUCGUGGAAUUCCCAGUGUAGAGGUGAAAUUCGUAGAUAUUGGGAAGAACACCGGUGGCGAAGGCGGCGACCUGGUUCAUAACUGACGCUGAGGCGCGAAAGCGUGGGGAGCAAAC
rnacentral:rRNA from 1 species